ensembl:snRNA LOC120103215 U6 spliceosomal RNA
AUGCUUCUGCAGGACAUAUACUAAAAUUUACCAAUUUGUACAGAGAAGAUUAGCAUGGCCCCUGUGAAAGCAUGACACAUAAAUUCGUGAAGUGUUACAUAUUUUU